rnacentral:rRNA from 1 species
UACGAAGGGGGCUAGCGUUGCUCGGAAUGACUGGGCGUAAAGCGCGCGUAGGCGGAUCAUCAAGUCGGGGGUGAAAUCCCGGGGCUCAACCCCGGAAUGGCCUUCGAGACUGGUGGUCUUGAGUUCGAGAGAGGUGAGUGGAAUUCCGAGUGUAGAGGUGAAAUUCGUAGAUAUUCGGAGGAACACCAGUGGCGAAGGCGGCUCACUGGCUCGACACUGACGCUGAGGUGCGAAAGCGUGGGGAGCAAACAGG